UAUAGAGAGAUGAGAGCUUGGAUGUCGAUGAUCUACGGCAGCAUACCAACUAUGCAGGAGGCUAUCACAGUGAUCAUUAUGUGAUUGAGAUGUUUUGGGAGAUUCUCAAAGGCUUUUCAUUGGAAAACAGGAAGAAAUUUCUGAAGUUUGUGACAGGUUGCUCUCGUGGACCAUUGCUGGGUUUUCGAUAUCUUGAACCUUUGUUUUGCAUACAAAGGUGAAUAAUACUAUAGAAAU